rnacentral:rRNA from 1 species
UGAGGAAUUUUCCGCAAUGGGCGAAAGCCUGACGGAGCGACGCCGCGUGUGGGAAGAAGGCCUUCGGGUCGUAAACCACUGUCGAAGGGGAAGAUAUUGACGGUACCCUUGGAGGAAGCCCCGGCUAACUACGUGCCAGCAGCCGCGGUAAGACGUAGGAUGCAAGCGUUGUCCGGAUUUAUUGGGCGUAAAGAGUUCGUAGGUGGUUUGUUAAGUCUGAUGUUAAAGAUUGGGGCUCAACCCCGAAAAUGCAUUGGAUACUGGCAGACUUGAGUGUGGUAGAGGCUAGUGGAAUUCCCAGUGUAGCGGUGAAAUGCGUAGAUAUUGGGAAGAACACCGGUGGCGUAGGCGACUAGCUGGGCCAUAACUGACACUGAGGAACGAAAGCCAGGGUAGCGAAUGGGAUUAGAUACCCCAGUAGUCCUGGCCGUAAACGAUGCGAACUGGAUGUUGGGUGCAACUUGGCACUCAGUAUCGAAGCUAACGCGUUAAGUUCGCCGCCUGGGGAGUACGGUCGCAAGACUG